rnacentral:rRNA from 1 species
AUUAGAGUUUGAUCCUGGCUCAGGAUGAACGCUGGCGGUAUGCUUAACACAUGCAAGUCGAACGGUCACUUCGGUGAUAGUGGCGGACGGGUGAGUAACGCGUGAGAAUCUGUCUUCAGGUCGGGGACAACAGUUAGAAAUGACUGCUAAUACCGGAUGUGCCUAAGGGUGAAAGAUUUAUUGCCUGAAGAAGAGCUCGCGUCAGAUUAGCUAGUAGGUGGUGUAAAGGACUACCUAGGCGACGAUCUGUAGCUGGUCUGAGAGGACGAUCAGCCACACUGGAACUGAGACACGGUCCAGACUCCUACGGGAGGCAGCAGUGGGGAAUUUUCCGCAAUGGGCGAAAGCCUGACGGAGCAAUACCGCGUGAGGGACGAAGGCUCUUGGGUCGUAAACCUCUUUUCUCAAGGAAGAUAGUGACGGUACUUGAGGAAUAAGCAUCGGCUAACUCUGUGCCAGCAGCCGCGGUAAUACAGAGGAUGCAAGCGUUAUCCGGAAUGAUUGGGCGUAAAGCGUCCGCAGGUGGUUUUUCAAGUCUGCUGUCAAAGAAUCUGGCUCAACCAGAUAAAGGCAGUGGAAACUGAGCGACUAGAGUAUGGUAGGGGUAGAGGGAAUUCCUGGUGUAGCGGUGAAAUGCGUAGAGAUCAGGAAGAACACCGGUGGCGAAAGCGCUCUGCUGGACCAUAACUGACACUGAGGGACGAAAGCUAGGGGAGCGAAUGGGAUUAGAUACCCCAGUAGUCCUAGCCGUAAACGAUGGAUACUAGGCGUUGCCCGUAUCGACCCGGGCAGUGUCGUAGCCAACGCGUUAAGUAUCCCGCCUGGGGAGUACGCACGCAAGUGUGAAACUCAAAGGAAUUGACGGGGGCCCGCACAAGCGGUGGAGUAUGUGGUUUAAUUCGAUGCAACGCGAAGAACCUUACCAGGGCUUGACAUGUCCGGAAUCUUCUGGAAACGGAAGAGUGCCUACGGGAGCCGGAACACAGGUGGUGCAUGGCUGUCGUCAGCUCGUGUCGUGAGAUGUUGGGUUAAGUCCCGCAACGAGCGCAACCCUCGUUCUUAGUUGCCAGCAAUUCGGUUGGGCACUCUAGGGAGACUGCCGGUGACAAACCGGAGGAAGGUGGGGAUGACGUCAAGUCAGCAUGCCCCUUACGUCCUGGGCGACACACGUACUACAAUGCUGUGGACAAAGGGCAGCAAGCUAGCAAUAGCAAGCAAAUCCCAUAAACCACGGCUCAGUUCAGAUCGCAGGCUGCAACUCGCCUGCGUGAAGGAGGAAUCGCUAGUAAUUGCAGGUCAGCAUACUGCAGUGAAUUCGUUCCCGGGCCUUGUACACACCGCCCGUCACACCAUGGAAGCUGGUCACGCCCGAAGUCGUUACCCUAACCCCUCGGGGAGGGGGACGCCGAAGGUAGGACUGGUGACUGGGGUGAAGUCGUAACAAGGUAACCAAU